ACAGCAGCAGCCACGGUAAUACGGAGGGUGCAAGCGUUAAUCGGAAUUACUGGGCGUAAAGCGCACGCAGGCGGUCUGACAAGUCAGAUGUGAAAUCCCCGGGCUUAACCUGGGAACUGCAUUUGAAACUGUCAGGCUGGAGUCUUGUAGAGGGGGGUGGAAUUCCAGGUGUAGCGGUGAAAUGCGUAGAGAUCUGGAGGAAUACCGGUGGCGAAGGCGGCCCCCUGGACAAAGACUGACGCUCAGGUGCGAAAGCGUGGGGAGCAAACAGGAUUAGAUACCCCAGUAGUCCCUGUCUUUAUACA
rnacentral:rRNA from 1 species